CCCUUACAUGAGAGUAAAUGUGACACCCCUUACAUGAAAGUAAAUGUGAUGCCCUUACAUGAAAGUAAAUGUGAUGCCUUUACAUGAAAGUAAAUGUGACACCCUUACAUGAAAGUAAAUGUGAUGCCCUUACAUGAAAUAAAUGUGGCACCCUUACAUGAAAGUCAAUGUAACACCAUUACAUGAGGUGAGGUGAAAUUGGAUUUAACGUCGUGCUUGAGAAUAUUUCGCUCAUGACGACGUGCAUUCAUGUCUGUGUGUGUAUGUAUGGCACCCUUACAUGAAAGUAAAUGUGAUGCCCUUACAUAAGGUAAACGUGACACCUUUACAUAAAAUAAUUGUGACACCCUUACAUAAAGUAAAUCGAGACAAUGUUACAUACAGUAAGUUUAGGUAUCCUCACAUGAUUAAAAUGGACAUGCAUGCACUGGAUUCUCACUGUGAAUUGUUGAUACUCAACAGUGAAUUAACAUACUCUUGACACAGUUUUCCCCAUUUUUGAGCACAAUUGUGAUGUAGUUUGCUUUUAUUCGGUCAUGGUAUUAUUUUAAUACCAUUUAUGAAUAUGAACCAUUGUUAUUCAGAAUAAGUGAACAAUAAAUGAAUUGUUUCUUGUCUUGAUGUUGAAAUAUGAGACAUCUCCUGCAGUUGCUGCCUUGUGACUUUGGUAAGGCAGUUGUAUGGUUUUGUCUGUACUACACCAGAUUGUUUUCGGUUUGAAAAUAAAAUCUUUUUGUACUAAAA